UAAUCUUUUUUUUUACAAUUCUACCUUACUGUUAUUUUAAAAACAAAUCUAGGAAUAAAAUGUAAAAAUGGCGACACAGGCUCUUGGAGAACAGCUGGAGUGCCCAGUAUGUCUUGAAAGAUACCUAAAGUACUGCCUUGUCAACACACUUUGUGCUUACAAUGUCUCGGACGCGUGGUCGAAAACAGGAAUGUGGUGCGAUGUCCGGAAUGUCGAGCCGAGCACAGAGUUCCUGCAACUGGCGUAUCCGGCUUUCCUACAAAUAUUACAUUACAGCGACUUCUUGCAGCCGAUACUCUCCCAAAUGUACCAACUGCACCCAUACGUGAUGGAAAUAUAAACAGUACGGGAGGUACGGGCCACUUGGGGCCAAUGACAUGACAAUCAUUAAAGCAAGUAUGAAGAGUAAUUAAACAUAUCAGCAAGUAC
rnacentral:lncRNA from 1 species